rnacentral:rRNA from 1 species
CUACUGGGGUAUCUAAUCCUGUUUGCUACCCACGCUUUCGGGCAUGAACGUCAGUGUUAUCCCAGGAGGCUGCCUUCGCCAUCGGUAUUCCUCCACAUCUCUACGCAUUUCACUGCUACACGUGGAAUUCUACCUCCCUCUGACACACUCUAGUCACCCAGUUCAGAACGCAGUUCCCAGGUUGAGCCCGGGGAUUUCACAUCCUGCUUAAGUAACCGUCUGCGCCCGCUUUACGCCCAGUAAUUCCGAUUAACGCUCGCACCCUACGUAUUACCGCGGCUGCUGGCAC